rnacentral:rRNA from 1 species
GACGAACGCUGGCGGCGUGCUUAACACAUGCAAGUCGAGCGGUAAGGCCCUUUCGGGGUACGACGAGCGGCGAACGGGUGAGUAACACGUGGGUGACCUGCCCUUAGCUCUGGGAUAAGCCUGGGAAACUGGGUCUAAUACCGGAUAUGACUCCAUAACGCAUGUUGUGGGGUGGAAAGCCUUGUGCGGCUAGGGAUGGGCCCGCGGCCUAUCAGCUUGUUGGUGGGGUGAUGGCCUACCAAGGCGACGACGGGUAGCCGGCCUGAGAGGGCGACCGGCCACACUGGGACUGAGACACGGCCCAGACUCCUACGGGAGGCAGCAGUGGGGAAUCUUGCGCAAUGGGCGAAAGCCUGACGCAGCGACGCCGCGUGGGGAUGACGGCCU